rnacentral:tRNA from 2 species
GCGCCCGUAGCUCAACUGGAUAGAGCAGUGGACUACGGAUCCACGGGUUGGGGGUUCAAGUCCUCUCGGGCGCGCCA